GAUGAACGCUGGCGGCGUGCCUAAUACAUGCAAGUCGAACGAAGAUCUAGCUUGCUAGAUCUUAGUGGCGAACGGGUGAGUAAUACAUAAAUAAUCUGCCCAUAUGACUGGGAUAACUAUUGGAAACGAUAGCUAAUACCGGAUAGUGUGAUCGGAGGGAUCUCUGAUGAAUUAAAGUAGGAUUUCUACACAAAUGGAUGAGUUUAUGGGGGAUAAGUUAGUUGGUGGGGUAAGGGCCUACCAAGACGAUGAUUCGUAGCCGACCUGGGAGGGUGACCGGCCACACUGGGACUGAGACUCGGCCCAUACUCCUACGGGAGGCAGCAGUAGGGAAUUUUCUGCAAUGGGCGCAAGCCUGACCGAGCAACGCCGCGUGAGUGAUUAAGGCCUUCGGGUUGUAAAGCUCUGUUGUAAGGGAAGAACAUUCAGGAUAGGAAAUGAUCUUGAACUGACGGUACCUUACCAGAAAGCCACGGCUAACUACGUGCCAGCCGCCGCCGUAA
rnacentral:rRNA from 1 species